AUGGCUGUCGUCAGCUCGUGUCGUGAGAUGUUGGGUUAAGUCCCGCAACGAGCGCAACCCUUGUCAUUAGUUGCUACAUUUAGUUGGGCACUCUAAUGAGACUGCCGGUGACAAACCGGAGGAAGGUGGGGAUGACGUCAAGUCCUCAUGGCCCUUAUAGGUGGGGCUACACACGUCAUACAAUGGCUGGUACAGAGGGUUGCCAACCCGCGAGGGGGAGCUAAUCCCAUAAAACCAGUCGUAGUCCGGAUCGCAGUCUGCAACUCGACUGCGUGAAGUCGGAAUCGCUAGUAAUCGCGGAUCAGCAUGCCGCGGUGAAUACGUUCCCG
rnacentral:rRNA from 1 species